ensembl:lncRNA
AGCAAGAACAAUCUCAAGAACCCAUUGACUUAACACAAAGAUAUUUAACACAAAGACGUGGGUCUUUUUAUUGGCAGUGGAAAAUAAGUUUCAGUAUUUUAUUGAAAGUAGGCAAUAAAUAAUACUGUGAUAAAAAUAGUUCAUAGGUACUCAGACUGUACAUCAUUUUUGUUACAAUAUCAGGAGAAAAUGGGGAGAACAGGAGAAUAAUUGAAAAAACAGGACAAAAACAUGAUUUGCAUUUUGCAACUAAAUCACAAAUGGGAGAAAACAACUAUGUAGAGUGGAAAGUAGAAGUCUUCGGUUCCGUAAAAUUAUUUGCCUUGAAAAAAAAAUGUAUUGACUCUGGAACCGGUGUUGAACAACAGAUUAAAAGACUGAUAAAAACAGCUUUUGCCACUAGAGUAGAAACAAACACACAAGAGGGACAAGGAAUAAAUAACAGAGAGAGGAGCUCGGUGAAAGACAACGAUAAGGCUUGAUAAGAGGUCUCCGUUGUACGAAGCGUUUACAAUGUAUUUUUUCUUAUGAAGUGGAUCGCGCCGUCUAGGGGGAGUUUGCUGGUCGCCGAGGGUUAGUUGAGGCCACAGUGGAAUUGGUCCGUCGAGAGGAGAGCCGCCACAUUCUCGGCUCAGGUACAUGCACAUUCAUCAUCACCACGCAUGCCUGGGCUUCUGUUAGUGCUCCAGGGGAAGGCAGGUAAAGAGAUGGAAGGUGGAGGUAGGCAGGGGAAAGAGGAAUGGAGUGUCGGUAUGCAAGGUUGACCCGAGAAUUGGACAUUCUCCGCAUCGUGACUGUCUCUGUUUGAACGAUGCGUCCGAAGUUAGCCCUCGCCUUCGCUACCGUUUAUGGCUUUUGCGUUUGUCAUCCAAGAGUUUUGGUUUGGUUUCGCAGUGUAGAAAAAAAGAAAAAUUGUCGUUUGCCACGUCACUGGUUACCAAGGUCACCUGGGGACUCGAAAGUUACGGUAUGGUGUUUAUCGACCAUAGCGUUAUAACAGUUCGUGAAACGAUUUCAGUCAGAACUCCAGCGAUAUUUCUUAUAUUCACAUAUCCUCACUGAAAUAGAAGAGCUGCAUUUACAAAUAACCACCAUUGAUAUGUUUGACAAUAAUACAAGAUAGGGGGAGAUUUUGGGGGGAGGGGGGCAUUCAGUUAAAAUAUCACAUAUUAAAAGUCAAUUCAGCAUGUUAAAACUUGGGGAGGGGGCAGAUCUGGUCAUUACAAGAUCAGGAAUAUAUAUAUUUAUAUAUAUAAAAGAUUAGAUAAAUGUCUGUUGAUAUAAAUAUACAAACUCCAGACCGUUGAAAAAACAUUCAGUUACAUCUGAGAGUUAACCUUGAUAAGGGCACAGUAGGGAAAGUUUGAUAAAACAGAGAUUUAGAUAGGUGGGAGAAAGAACAGAUGGAUAAAAUAACAAAUAUAAUUUUUUUAAAUGUCCCACCAGCAUACAUAAAUAGAUUAAUAAACAUCGACAAAUCUAGGACGUGUCCCCGCACAGGAGAACAGAGGUUGGUGACGUCAUCGCUAGUUCUUUUUUUUUUCCUCUGACAAUAAAACUCUGGUGAAGUGUCGUUGCUAUAGUGACGUCGUUGCUACGGUAACGCCAUCAUGGCUAGUUCUUUCCUCUCUGUGAUAAUAAAACUCUGGUGAAGGGGUUGUUGCUGGGUCAGCAGCCACUUCUGAUUGCGGAGAACUCACACCCCUUGUCCUCCAACCAGAAGUCACCUAUAGAAAUAAUGAGGAUAAACUGAGAAAAGACAGAGAGGAAGACAGAAAGAGAGACAGUGGAUGAAGAGAGGAAGGAAAACAAGGAGGAAAGAGAGAAUAGAACAGGAAAUGCAAAAGAGCAGCAGAUGUAGAGGGGAGAGAGGAGAAGGAGAGAGGAGAAGGAGAGAGGAGCGUAGACAUGCGUUAAUAUAGCCAAGAAAAAGCAGAAGCAUGAAAAGCUGCUGUAACAGACAAGAUCCAU